CCCUUAGAUGUUCUGGGCCGCACGCGCGCUACACUGACGAAUGCAACGAGCUUAUAACCUUGGCCGAAAGGUCUGGGUAAUCUCCAAAUUUCGUCGUGAUGGGGAUAGAUUAUUGCAAUUAUUAAUCUUCAACGAGGAAUGCCUAGUAAGCGCAAGUCAUCAGCUUGCGUCGAUUACGUCCCUGCCCUUUGUACACACCGCCCGUCGCUCCUACCGAUUGAAUGGUCCGGUGAAGCGUUCGGACCGUGGCCUUUGGACGGUUCGCCGUCUGUUGGCUGCGGGAAGUUCGUUAAACCUUAUCAUUUAGAGGAAGGAGAAGUCGUANCA
rnacentral:rRNA from 1 species